UACGAAGGGUGCAAGCGUUAAUCGGAAUUAUUGGGCGUAAAGAGCUCGUAGGCGGUCUGUCGCGUCGGCUGUGAAAACCCGGGGCUCAACCCCGGGCCUGCAGUCGAUACGGGCAGACUAGAGUGCGGUAGGGGAGACUGGAAUUCCUGGUGUAGCGGUGAAAUGCGCAGAUAUCAGGAGGAACACCGGUGGCGAAGGCGGGUCUCUGGGCCGUAACUGACGCUGAGGAGCGAAAGCGUGGGGAGCGAACAGG
rnacentral:rRNA from 1 species